UAGGAGCUUGUCGGGGUGCCUUUCAUUU
rnacentral:piRNA from 1 species